AACUACUGACAUGUGUGCUAUAGUAUCAGUGAGGAUUCGUCCGAGAUCGUGUUUUUGCUAGUUGAAAACUAUCAACUGACUGCUCUUGAUGGUCUCACGAUCGUCAAGGAAUUUUUGGAAAACAACAAUAUCUCUUGU
rnacentral:snRNA from 1 species